rnacentral:lncRNA from 1 species
GUUUUUUCUGCCCUGCAAAAUGGUCCUGAUUUAUUACAUGCCCUGGCAUACAUUCCAUGCCGCCUGGGCGUGAUGGCCACACCCAACCCCUGGCCACAUGGGGUCCAAUGACUUGAUCUAAGAGUCGCCAACCUCCAAACCCUUUUAGCCAUAAAAUGCGGUAACUGUGGCACACCCCAUCCCUUCCUGCAGGGACACAGCCAAGCCAGCCCUGGGCAGUGUGGAUUGGGAAGGGAGCAGAAAUGGAGGCUCAGAGACAGUGAAUCAUUUGUACAAGGUCCUAGAGCCACACGCCCACAUCUUUCCAUGCUCCGGGCUGCCUCUCAUUCCAGGAUGAAGGGCUCGAGUCUGGGAUUUUUCCAACAUUCUAUUUUUCCCUAUCAUGAGACGAAGGAGCAAUUCCUGAGCUAAGCAAUCUGGAACCCUCGGUGGCCAUCUUCAGUGAUCCUCUAGCUAUAGUCUACUGAAUCCUGUGCUUCUGCCACCAGCAUCAGGAGCCCAGUGACGGGGAGUUUGUGGAAAGAUGAGCUUGGGGGGAGAGCUGAGUGGGGCUGUGUGGGAUGGGGAGGGCGUAACCCGGAAGCUCCACAGGUCCUGUGCUGGGGAACAUUCUCCUCAGUGGCCAUCAGAAGACAGGCUGCAGUGACCACACAGGGCACUCUGGAGGCAGAUAUAAGUGGGAGUUGUGCCGGCAGUGCCAUGGCAUGUCAAGGCAGGCCUCCGGGGCAAGAAACACCAGGUUUAUUUGGGGUACGUCGGGUUUAGUGGGGAAUCCCUCGGCCCAGCUCUCAGCGAUGGGUGGGCCAUAGUUUGAGAGCCACUGGGCCAGGCAUUCUCUGGGAGUAUUGUGGCUUUAACUUACUGUCUCCCGAGCAGGGGGUGCCGAGGAGCUGGGAGACCCAGGGGGAAGACGUCCCCACAGCAGGGGGCCCUUUGUGGAUGAGAGUGGUUUGGCAACUUCCACAGCUUCCAGUCACUCUGAAGUCAGAGGCUCGGGGAUUCUUUAACUGCUGUACAUCCGGGAAACGGGAACAGCCAAGGCCGAGCUCAGCGUUGGCCCCGAGAGGAGUGAGGGCGUGCUUGAUGUGUCUCCAGUCUUCCUUUCUUCUUCCUGCCUGAAAGGACGGAGGCAUUAGAGAGAAUCACUAGGAAGAAAGAGGUGCUCCCCAAGACUCUGAAGACCUCAAGGGCUGGCCCAUGCUGGACAGAAGCGGAGUGAGAAGGAGGCAGAGAGUGCAAACCUGGGGUGAGUGGAGAAAGCAGCUGGGGGGCAGAACCCAGAGAAAAACAACGCUGAGGCGCGGCCCCUAAGAGGGGGCGCCAGCAGGAAAUAUUCAUGAGCACCAACUGUGCCCUUUCGUAAAGCCCUCAUAAUACCUCGGUAAAACAAGCGUUGUUAUUCCCACUUUGCUGAUGGUAAAGCUGAGAUUCUGAGAGGUCAGACAACCUGCCUGCUCACACAAUACGCCACAGAAGCAGGCUUUGAACCUAAGACUGUUUGGCUCCAAAGCGCUUGUCCUGCCUCCUACACCAACUUCCCAUUUUCCCCUGGAACUGACCCUGCAGAGAACAUACUUCUCAUACCACAAAGGGCUUCUAGAACCUGCUGCUGCAGGACGGUGCCUCCGAGAGUCACCAUUGCUCACGAUGUCUUUGAAGCCCACAGAUAUUUGAUAAAUAUCUGUAGAAGAAGAGUGGGAGGAAGAAAGAGAGAAAAAAGAAGGAAAAGAAAUUGGCACCUACUCUGUGCCAAGGCCUCUAUAUACGGUCACAUUUCAUUUUCUUUGUGGAUUAAUUUAUACCUCCCUUUAUUUCUGAAGCUCCUGGAGGCAGCCGUAAGCACUGUCAGGUCCAUUUCCAGUGAGGAAACGUAGGUGCAGAGAGGUAAAGCGAUGAGUCUAAAGGGGCUCAAGCACCCAGGGGAGGGUGCUUAUAACUGGGUUCGACCAUUCAAUGCGUAUUUAUUGAGCUCCUACUCCGAGCCAGGCACAGUUCUAGGCUUGUGGGAUAUUUCAGUGCACAAAGCGGAUAAUGACCCCUGCCCUCGCAGAACUUACGGUUUGUGGGAAUCUAAAAUUCCAGUGAUGUGUAACAGAGGAAAGGGCGGCAGGCCCUGACGCAGAAUACGCAGGAAGUAGACCUCCCGAGGCUGCCAUCUUGGGCUGAGCUCCAUGUCAUCCCCGUCUCCCGCUUCACUAUCUGAAGCCGGAAGCAGGUGGCCUGCAGGACAGUGGAGGAGGUGGCACGGAGUCUCUUCCCUGGCUGCCUCCAUAGGAGGUUUGGGGGUUUGAGCCCUUCUGAUUAGAAGGGUAAGAUCCGGAUGCUGAUGGAACAGUUCACAAGAGUUAUGAAUCUCUAGGAACAUUCCUAGCUGUUUUGAGUUCCAAAUUCUGGCCCAGGUUUGGGGAGGAGGCCAUACUCCCCAGAUCUAUGCAGUCCCCCUGGAGCUCCAUGUUUUGAGGGCUCUGGAAGAAUCUGAAGAUGGUGGUGGCGAGGAUGUUGGUGUCUCAUGUUGGGUUCUGUCAGCCCGGGCAGCCGAAGGGCUCCCUCAGGUGGUUUUUUGGGCUGUGGGUGUCAGAGCAGGAACGGAUCAUGUUGGGCUCUUAGUGGUGGGUGAUGGCAGGUGACAGACUGGGUAUGAAGCACAUCUUUGGGAACUCACAGAAACACCUCAUAGGUACUUAAAGAGGCAUCCAAUUUCCUACUUAGAUAGGUGGAUGUGGGGUGGGGCAUGGAGUCAUUUUAAUUGGGCCAUAAGUGUAAAUUAGACCUUAUUUUGUAGACCCAGGAUGCUGAGGACAGCAGACAUUUGUCACAUAUAAUAACUGUACUUUCCUUGCCAGCAAUUGAGAGGAGAGAGACAACGAGGAGAAGUUGAAUCUAAUGGAUUAUUCCAAAGGCCAGAGCCCUUCAAAAGAAAAAGGCUGGAGUCCUUAAUAGGACGCCAAGGCCCUCAUGAACGAGCCCCUGAGCACCCACCCUGUGUAGCCUCCUGGCAGGCUCC